rnacentral:piRNA from 1 species
UGGGACUCUACCCUUACGACUCUGCC